CCCUCCUCCGAGCACUGGAGCCGCGCCUUCGCGGGCGCCAAAGGCCCCCCACACCUCGUGGGCGGGCCGGAGCGACCGAGGCCCCGGGCCCGCGCGGCGUGGAAGGUUCGGGAAGGAAGCCAGGCCCGACCGGGGGGUGGCGCACGUCCCCGAACCCCGGGCACGCGCCCUCGGUCGGGCUCUGGCGGGUCUCCCCUCGGUUCCGCGCCGCCAGCCUCUCCGAAAUGGACCCGGAGGGAGGGAGCCGGCCUCCGCCCAGCCUUGAGGAGCCCCAGAGCCUCAUCCCUGUGGUAGCUAACUUGUUCUGGUAUGAUGCUGUGCUCUUCUACUUCAUGCUUCCUGUUCUAGCAGAGGACCUGGGUUGGAAUUUAGCUGUUUAUUAUUGCAGGAACUAUGUAGAAGUGGAAGUGGGGAAUGUUUCAAUAAUACUGAUAUUAUGAUUUCUUUGAGAUUGUGUACUAUGCCUUGUUAUUUUUAUACUUGAUACGGAACCCCGUAUCAACCCCUCCAAAUAGACUCAGAGGCUUCCCUGGUGGCUCAGAAUCUGUUUGCAAUGCAGGAGACCCAGGUUUGAUCCCUGGGUCGGGAAGACACCGUGGAGAAGGAAAUGGCAACCCACUCUAGUAUUCUUGCCUGGAGAAUUUCACAGACAGAGGAUCCUGGCGGGCUACAGUCCAUGGGGUUGCACAGGGUCGGACAUGACUGAGCGACUAACACUGCUCAUCAUAGGUACUUAGCAUCAUGCUUUUGUUUAAAUUGUAUCCAGUUGUUAGCUGCUGCUUACUCAUUUUUUUCUUUUUUUUUAUUAAAUUUAAAAAAUUUUAAUUUUUUGGCUACUUUGGCCAUACUACGUGGCUUGUGGGAUCUUAAUUCCCUGACCAGGGAGCAAACCCACGACCCCUGCAUUGGAAGCACAGUCUUCACCACUGGACCUCCAGGGAAGUUCUGCUUCUUACUGACUUUUAACAAAUAUUAAUCUCUUACUUCCUUAAAUAACAAAGAAGCCCAUACAUUAAUUUUACUUUUACUAUAAAGUAUAUCUUCAGCAAUGUUUAGCUAGCUUCCUCAACUCUUAUGAAGGAGAUUCAUCUGGCAACUGAUUAAAUUCCGUAUCAGGAAUAUUUAAUUACAAAACCUCUGUUCUGCAUUAACAUGAAUGAACACUGAAGCUAGUAACGAAAGUACUUUUUCUUCAUGAAAAGUAGAAGUAUUUUUCAGGAUUCUGGGAAAUAUUGAAAUAAUUUUGGUUGUAGUCAUACUGUUUUUAAUGCUAUUGAGAAUAUUGCUAACAUUAACAAAAAUAUUCUGUAAUUUCCUCAGUUAUUGCUACUGGUGAUGAGGGAUGUAAAGUUGGCAUGCUUUCAUGUUUUGAGCAUUUUCAUUAUAUACUUCGGGUUUUACAUGUCAGAUGCAAUUUUUGUUGUAGUUAAGAUGGCUGAGAACAUUUUUACUUAGGGAUAGAGGUCAGGCUGUGGUUAUUUGUAUUUUUAGGUCAGUGAUAUAUAGAAUACAAUUAAUGUAUCAGAGUAAAUGCAUAUGCAAUUUUGUUUUUAAGUAUUAUACAGUACUUAUAUAUUUUUGUGACUUCAUUUUUAGUUCAUCAAAAUAUAGUGGUUGGGACCAAGGCAUAGGUUUCAUUUCUAUAUUGAUAAUUUUAUUUUGUUACUUUCUGUGACUAUUGGUAACACUUAUCUUGCAGAUACAAGCUCUUAUUCACCAGGGAUCUUUGGCAAGAGAAUGGCUGUAUCAGAAAGUCUAUCUUCACUGUGGAAAAUCAGCUUGAAGCUCGUCUUUGUUGAUGGUGAGUCAGUGUCAUCUUCAUACAGGAAAGAUCAUACUAGCAUUAUUUUAUAUUUUCAGUGUUAUCAAACAACUAUUUGGUUUAAACUUUUUUUUGAGACAGUAUUUUGGGGGUGACAGAGGCUGAGAUGGUUGAAUGACAUAACCGACUCAAGGGACUAGAAAGUGAAAGUCGCUCAGUCAUGUAGGACUCUGUGACUCCAUGGACUAUACAAUCCAUGGAAUUCUCCAGGCCAGAAUGCUGGAGUGGGGAGCUGUUCCCUUCUCCAGGGGAUCUUCCCAAUCCAAGGAUCGAACCCAGGUCUCCUGCAUCGCAGGCGGAUUCUUUACCAGCUGAGCCACCAGGGAAGCCCCAAUGGAUUUGAGUUUGAGCAAACUCCUGGAGAUGGUGAAGGACAGGGAAGCCUAGCAUGCUGCAGUCCAUGAAAUUGCAGAGCUGGACAUGACUGAGUGACUAAACAACAACAUUAGAAUGUUAAACCAUAGUGCUUCAUUACUUGUGUCUAAAGGAUUGCAUAAAAUUGGAAUGGAAGUAAUAAUUUUCUAUUUAUGAAUAUACCUAAUAAAAGUAGUUUGAUUACCUUCUUUCUCUCA
ensembl:lncRNA